AUUCCAGCUCCAGUAGCGUAUAUUAAAGUUGUUGCAGUUAAAAAGCUCGUAGUUGGAUUUCUGGCUUGACAGAGCUGGCCCAAGUCUUUAUGGCUCUGCGCGCCGGUCUUUGUCUGCCAUCCUUCUAGAAAGCGUUUCUUGCCCUUCACUGGUCGAGACUCGUGAUCUAGAUCUUUUACUUUGAAGAAAUUAGAGUGUUCAAAGCAGGCUCGCGCUAUGAAUACAUAGCAUGGAAUAAUAAUUUAGGACUUGAUAUCCUAUUUUGUUGGUUUUUAGGAUUUAAGUAAUGAUUGAUAGGGAUAGUUGGGGGUGCUAGUAUUCAGCGGCCAGAGGUGAAAUUCGGUGAUUCGCUGAAGACUAACUUAUGCGAAAGCAUUCACCAAGGAUGUCUUCAUCA
rnacentral:rRNA from 1 species